GAUGAACGCUGGCGGCGUGCCUAAUACAUGCAAGUCGAGCGAACGGACGAGAAGCUUGCUUCUCUGAUGUUAGCGGCGGACGGGUGAGUAACACGUGGAUAACCUACCUAUAAGACUGGGAUAACUUCGGGAAACCGUAGCUAAUACCGGAUAAUAUUUUGAACCGCAUGGUUCAAAAGUGAAAGACGGUCUUGCUGUCACUUAUAGAUGGAUCCGCGCUGGAUUAGCUAGUUGGUAAGGUAACGGCUUACCAAGGCGACGAUGCAUAGCCGACCUGAGAGGAUGAUCGGCCACACUGGAACUGAGACACGGUCCAGACUCCUACGGGAGGCAGCAGUAGGGAAUCUUGCGCAAUGGGCGAAAGCCUGACCGAGCAAUGCCGCGUGAGUGAUGAAGGUCUUCGGAUCGUAAAACUCUGUUAUUAGGGAAGAACAUAUGUGUAAGUAACUGUGCACAUCUUGACGGUACCUAAUCAGAAAGCCACGGCUAACUACGUG
rnacentral:rRNA from 1 species